UACGGAGGGUGCGAGCGUUGUCCGGAAUCACUGGGCGUAAAGGGCGCGUAGGCGGCCUGAUAGGUAGGGGGGUGAAAUCUUGCGGCUUAACCGCAAGGCUGCCUUCUAAACUGUCAGGCUAGAGCACAGUAGAGGCAGGCGGAAUUCCGGGUGUAGCGGUGGAAUGCGUAGAGAUCCGGAAGAACACCGGUGGCGAAGGCGGCCUGCUGGGCAGUAGCCGAAAGGCUUUCAAGCUGACACUGAGGCGCGACAGCGUGGGGAGCAAACAGG
rnacentral:rRNA from 1 species